AUGCCCGAUGAUUAUAAAAAGACGCGUUAUUAUGAGGACAAAUGCUGGAACUCCCUCCCUACCUUCUGCCUCUUAACUUUUUUCUCUUUUCUCUCUUUCCGCCUGCCCCUUUUCCUCCUCUUCUUCUCCCCUCCCCCGGGAGUCUCCAGUGUCCUAUGAACAAGAUUAUGAGAUAUGAGGGCAA